CUGCUGCCUCCCGUAGGAGUCUGGGCCGUGUCUCAGUCCCAAUGUGGCCGAUCAACCUCUCAGUCCGGCUACCGAUCGUCGCCUUGGUGGGCCGUUGCCCCACCAACUAGCUAAUCGGCCGCGAGCCCAUCUUUCAGCGGAUUGCUCCUUUGGCUGCAUCGGGAUGCCCCAUCGCAGCGUUAUGCGGUAUUAGCAGUCGUUUCCAACUGUUAUCCCCCUCUGAAAGGCAGGUUGCUCACGUGUUA
rnacentral:rRNA from 1 species